GGGAGAAUUGCUGUUCCCUGUGUUUGUGAAUGGUCUUUGACAUUCCCUGUCAGUAUCAUUAAAUGAAGACCUGAAUAUCCUGGACCGAACUGAGCAUGUGGUUUUCAACAGUGACUAGUAAUUUGGAAUCCCUUCACUUCUGCAGGCUCUGCUGAUGGUAUCACACCCUGUGAGGACUCAGCAUAAAGCAUACAGGUACCAGCUGCUGAGACACUCACUCCUCAUACACAGGUC